AUGGGUAAAGCUUAGUGGUAGAGCUUGUGCUUUUUAAUCACAAAGCAUUAGGUCUGGGUUCAAUCCUAGCACCUGUG
rnacentral:tRNA from 1 species